rnacentral:rRNA from 1 species
CCUACGGGAGGCAGCAGUGGGGAAUAUUGCACAAUGGGGGAAACCCUGAUGCAGCGACGCCGCGUGAGUGAAGAAGUUUUUCGGUUUGUAAAGCUCUAUUAGCAGGGAAGAAAAUGACGGUAUCUGACUAAGAAGCACCGGCUAACUACGUGCCAGCAGCCGCGGUAAUACGUAGGGGGCAAGCGUUACUCGGAUUCACUGGGCGUAAAGGGAGCGUAGACGGGAGAGCAAGUCAGAAGUGAAAUGCUGGGGCUUAACCCCGGAACUGCUUUGGAAACUGUGCAGCUAGAGUGCGGGAGAGGUAAGUGGAAUUCCUGGUGUAGCGGUGAAAUGCGUAGAUAUUAGGAGGAACACCAGUGGCGAAGGCGACUUGCUGGACUGUAACUGACGCUGAGGCGCGAAAGCGUGGGGAGCAAACAGGAUUAGAUACCCCAGUAGUC